GACGAACGCUGGCGGUGUGCUUAACACAUGCAAGUCGAACGGUAAGGCCCUUUCGGGGGUACACGAGUGGCGAACGGGUGAGUAACACGUGAGUAACCUGCCCUCAUCUAUGGGAUAACAGUCGGAAACGGUUGCUAAUACUGGAUAUGAGCCUGCAAGGCAUCUUGUGGGUUGGAAAGAUUUUUUGGUUGGGGAUGGACUCGCGGCCUAUCAGCUUGUUGGUGAGGUAGUGGCUCACCAAGGCUUCGACGGGUAGCCGGCCUGAGAGGGCGACCGGCCACAUUGGGACUGAGAUACGGCCCAAACUCCUACGGGAGGCAGCAGUGGGGAAUAUUGCACAAUGGACGGAAGUCUGAUGCAGCAACGCCGCGUGCGGGAUGACGGCCUUCGGGUUGUAAACCGCUUUCAAUUGUGACGAAGCUUUUUGUGACGGUAGCAGUAGAAGAAGCACCGGCUAACUACGUG
rnacentral:rRNA from 1 species